rnacentral:rRNA from 1 species
GUGGGGGAUAUUGCACAAUGGGGGAAACCCUGAUGCAGCAACGCCGCGUGUGGGAAGAAGGUUUUCGGAUUGUAAACCACUGUUCUUAGCGAAGAAACAAAUGACGGUAACUAAGAAGAAAGCUCCGGCUAACUACGUGCCAGCAGCCGCGGUAAUACGUAGGGAGCGAGCGUUGUCCGGAUUUACUGGGUGUAAAGGGUGCGUAGGCGGGCCCGCAAGUCAGACGUGAAAGCCACAGGCUCAACCUGUGAAUUGCGUUUGAAACUGUGGGUCUUGAGUGAAGUAGAGGUAGGCGGAAUUCCCGGUGUAGCGGUGAAAUGCGUAGAGAUCGGGAGGAACACCAGUGGCGAAGGCGGCCUACUGGGCUUUAACUGACGCUGAGGCACGAAAGCGUGGGUAGCAAACAGGAUUAGAAACCCCAGUAGUCC